GACGAACGCUGGCGGCGUGCCUAAUACAUGCAAGUCGAACGCUGAAGGAGGAGCUUGCUUCUCUGGAUGAGUUGCGAACGGGUGAGUAACGCGUAGGUAACCUGCCUGGUAGCGGGGGAUAACUAUUGGAAACGAUAGCUAAUACCGCAUAAUAGUAGAUGUUGCAUGACAUUUGCUUAAAAGGUGCAAUUGCAUCACUACCAGAUGGACCUGCGUUGUAUUAGCUAGUUGGUGGGGUAACGGCUCACCAAGGCGACGAUACAUAGCCGACCUGAGAGGGGGAUCGGCCACACUGGGACUGAGACACGGCCCAGACUCCUACGGGAGGCAGCAGGAGGGAAUCUUCGGCAAUGGACGGAAGUCUGACCGAGCAACGCCGCGUGAGUGAAGAAGGUUUUCGGAUCGUAAAGCUCUGUUGUAAGAGAAGAACGAGUGUGAGAGUGGAAAGUUCACACUGUGACGGUAUCUGACCAGAAAGGGACGGCUAACUACGUG
rnacentral:rRNA from 1 species